AACAAUUCAUCACAAAAUAACUAGUGAAAAGUGUACAUACCCUUCAAAAUGUGUUGGCUAGGCUGGGCAGCUAUAUUUUCAUUAUUCUCCUACGUAUAUAAUGGACCACUAGUGCCACCACCGCCAAAAUAACUCUGCAAAAAAUACACUCGCCAAGUACCAAGAAUAAAACCAAGUGGAUGUCUUGAAGUAAAGAAUCGUCAAUUAAAGUGUAACUUUGUGAUAUAUAUUUUUCUCAUGUAUUUACAAUAAAAUAUUUUUCAUAAAAUUAUUUCAUGCUUA